rnacentral:rRNA from 1 species
UGCCCAGACUCCUACGGGAGGCAGCAGUGGGGAAUAUUGCACAAUGGGGGAAACCCUGAUGCAGCAACGCCGCGUGAGUGAAGAAGUAUUUCGGUAUGUAAAGCUCUAUCAGCAGGGAAGAAGAUGACGGUACCUGAAUAAGAAGCCCCGGCUAACUACGUGCCAGCAGCCGCGGUAAUACGUAGGGGGCAAGCGUUAUCCGGAUUUACUGGGUGUAAAGGGAGCGCAGACGGCAGUGCAAGUCUGGAGUGAAAGCCCGGGGCCCAACCCCGGAACUGCUUUGGAAACUGUGCAGCUCGAGUGCAGGAGAGGUAAGCGGAAUUCCUAGUGUAGCGGUGAAAUGCGUAGAUAUUAGGAGGAACACCAGUGGCGAAGGCGGCUUACUGGACUGUAACUGACGUUGAGGCUCGAAAGCGUGGGGAGCAAGCAGGAUUAGAUACCCUAGUG